UGGAUAAUGUUAGGGAGACCAAAUUUGUGGACAAAACUUGCAAACUAAAUGAUGUGUCACCAAUAGGAAUGAACACGUUUAUCAACGCUUCAGUAAUAAACUAAUCAUCAACUUCCAUGUCAUUUAGUUUUCAAAAUUUUGUCUACAAAUUUAGUCUUUCUAACAUUACUCAUUCAACUUAUAUCUCACGGUUAAAUUAGAUUUUACACGAUUAUUCAUUCAAUAACGUGGUGUUCUUAUCAUGAGCCAUGCGUAUAGAUUCUCUAAUAGACAUAGUCCUAUCAGGACUUUACCUCGAUAGACCUAGUUAUCACAAAAUCCACUACUAUAAAUAAACGUGGUUCUGGAAUGAGAGAAGCCAUUUCAAUUCAACAAACAACUCAAAACACUCAACGUGAAAACCCAUUUCAAUUCAACAAACAACUCAAAACACUCAACGUGAAAACCCUCAUUCUACGCAAAACCCUUCUCACAAUACAACACUGUUUUGACAAUUGGCUACAUUUUCAGUUUAGAUUAACAACAAUGAAGCCAUAAAAUCGGGCGAUUUAGGAGCAUAUUCACUUUGGAUUAACAACAUUGCUUCUGGUUGGUUGGUUAUCUAUUCAAAUCUCAGCUAGCGAAGAUUUUUCAAUUCUUUCGCCUAAAAAUGUCACUUCAUAGCCCCUGGCGAAGUAAGGUUUUCUAUAAUUAGUUACUCCCAAGUGCACUUCAUAGUUCAGCAUUUCGACGGCUGAAUUGCAUUCACCAUAAAGACACUCAUUUCCUUUGAGUAUCUUUGCACGUACAACCUAAUAUCGAUUCGCUCACUUAUAAUCUCAUAAAUAUAGUUGAAGCAGUCAAAUUUGGCGCAAAAGAUCCUGAACUUCAUAGUGAAUAAUUAAGCAACCUUGUCUUCAGGUUUGUUGAGAAAAUUAGAUAACCAAAAUUAAACUCAUUAAGUCUCAAAUUUUAGUGCUCGCAAGUAUACGAAUCGGAUAACUUUUUACAAGGAGAAUGGAUCUCCUUAAAAUAAAACCCACAACAAGGGUAUUAAAGGCAAAUUGAAAUCCAAUUAAACGGAAAUAAUAAAAACUAGAAAUUAAGUUCUCUCCUGAAUUCCAUUGAAUAGCAUUCCCAUCUCUAUUUGAUUCCAAAACUGCUCGGUUUCAUCUUCUUGCUGUAAUGCACAUGUCUUCGAGCAGCUAGUUAACCUCUUGUUCCACUGAAAUUACUGUAGACACCUCAAAUCUCCAUUUUUCACUUCUUUUUCACGUAACUUCCGUAUUGAAUGCCUAUAAAUUAAAACAAUAUAAAUUAGUGCAUUUAACCCAUUCAUAUAUACAAAAUCCAAAGGAAAUAUAUGAUCAAAAUAUAUGAAAAUAUGCACCCAUCAAAUUUUAGAACCCUAGAUCAAGAGGUGCUCCUUCUUCGAUCAGAGUCACUCAAAUGCAGAAGUCAGCAGCCAUUUGACACCACCAUCACCGCAUAUGUUCUACUGACCCAAUUGAGCUAGGUAGCGAAUUGGCACACCCGCAUUCACAAGAAAGACAUUGUUGACUCAAUAAUUACUUGGUUUGCACGCCACUGAUAGCGAUUUUACCACUUGUAAAACAAAGGGUUAAACCAUAGAAAAUUCUUGCAAGAGAACAAGUGUUUGUAGUAUAGAAUGGCUCAAGCAAGGUCGAUCUCCUCAGGGACUGAUAUAAACAAUUUACGAAUUUUUGUGUAUUUAACUUAUUUAAUUCUAAGAAUUACAGUAAUUUGACGAAACUAAAUAUUACUGGAUGUGACUUAAACAAAUAUCUAAAAUGGGAAUUGAUUUAUAAGAAUAAUGAUUCAACUUAAACAAAACAAGUAAAUAAGGAAAUUCAAGAUAAAAUAAAUGACUGAAGAAAAAUAAAUUGACAAUAUGCUAGAGUUCAACCUUUACCAACAACACUCCUACGUAGCUAUUCUAAUUGCUUAAAUAAUUGAAAACACACAUGCUUUGAAGGUUGGAUUUUCCUUGUGUAUAUUUUACUUGUGACAUUCAAGCUAAAACGCACAUUUGGAUUAAAUAUAAACACGGGUGAUUCAUUAAUCUUGGUGAAAAUCCUUUUGUUAAACCAUAUAAUCCCUAAGAGCAUGAUAUUUACCUUAGGAGAGUAUAAUUCUCAAUCACAAGAAGCAUAACCAAUUUUAACGUGACAUUCGUUCAAAAUUGCAUCCGAUAACUUUUCUAAGCAUCCUAAUGGUGUUCAAGCAUCAAGGUACAUAGAUAGUUUAAUUCAGUGAUUGAAAAUAUCAAAGCAAACAUGUAACAACACUUAAGCGAUUGAAAAAUAAAACUACGUAUUCAUGUUGCGGCUCAUGGCCUCACUCUAGCAUAAUAAAUUAGUUACACAUAAUUAUUUUGAUACAUAAGAAAUUAUUCAUAACAAAAAAUAAAUAACUAAGGAAGAAGACACCCGUUUCUUUUCUCCAGAUCGCAAGUCUAAGUGAAAUUUUCCGUGUGCACUGCCUUUGCUGCCUCUGCUGCGUCAGUCUACUCUCUGCUGUCCUCUCUCUUCCGUCUCACCCCUGCUCUCCCUGCGCCAGUCCCCCUUUUUCCCUCUGUCCUCCUCCGUCCCCCUCUAUCUCUGCCCUCUAUUUCCUUUUUUAUUCUCUCUGCCUUGAGUCAGCCCGUGUCUGCCUUGCCUUUUUGCUGCGUCCAUACACGUGUCCUCCACUCUUGCGCACUGCCCUCAUUUCUAUUAUUUCCGUAUGCCUUUCUUUCCACUCCUUUUUUUUUCUCCAUUGUUUUCUCUUCAGUGUCUCUCCCACUGCCCUUUUAUUAUUCUUCUUUUUAUUCCAUCAGUCUUCCACUCCCUCUUUGUCUGCCGUGUCUCUCCCUGUAACAAAAAGCAGCCAUUUUCAAUUCCAUUCUCUCCAUUUUGCUUGAGAUUAAUCCUAAACAAAAUUAACUGCAUAUUAACACAAGGUAAGGUAAAAUGCCACAAGUUUAACACAAAAACAUCACAAAGACUUUAGAAAUGGAUGGUAUAAAUGCAUGAAAUAUAUGAGUGAUCAAAUACCCCCAAACUUGCAUUUUUGCUAGUCCUCUAGCAAAACAAAACACAAAACAAAACCACUCAACUAAGACUAGAUUCAACAACUUAGUAGUCAACUUCUCAAUUUCGAUUUCAGAGAUAAGUGCUAAUCAUGAAACAAACAACCAAGAAUUAAUCAAGAGCUCAAAACAUCAUCCAAUAGUUAACCAAAUUUCCUUCAAACAAAAACGUUGAAAAGCCAUGUGUGAGCUAGCCAUGUCAAUGCAAUUCCAAGCUCCUUUAAAUCAUCAUAUGCAAACAUGUGAGUUUCUCACAAGACAUACGCUCAUUCACUCAUAAGUUUUGGUUAACGUGUUUCACUCAAGUGAUCUCAUUGUACAUGCCGC
rnacentral:lncRNA from 1 species